UUCUAUAUGAUAAACAAAAUAAACCAAAUUUUUGCUGUUUAUUCUAAACUGUGUAACUUUACAAACGGCGCCUCAUCCUUUUGACAAGAAACAGGACUUUGCAACAGGACGUAAUAUUGGCAACUGAAAUGAUCUACUAUACUCAGUGAGCUUUUCUGAACCACUCUUGUUCUUCUGUGGUUUUCCCGUUGCCACACACUUCUGUCCAACUCCGUUCAGCUCAAAUGACAAAAUCUAAAAACUCAAAGGAAGAUGAAGGUGCGGGCCGAGGAACGCUGAAAGAUUUAUUUUGAUUGUCCUACAGGAAAAUUAACUAAUGGGUCAUGGUGGUGGGCAGAAAUUAUUUAUAAUAUCCUGUUCUGGUGGAGUUGUGACAGCCUCAGGCCGGCCCGUAAAUGCACGCCACCCAGAUAGCCGGUCCAGCUCUGCUUCUUCCAGUGUGACAAACUCCCAUCUGUUACACUGCAUUUGAUUAGACUGCAAAAUCCAACGCAUUUUUAGUUCCUAUCAGCUGCUUUACUGUUAUUAAUUAGUCAGGAGAGUGAAGUCUCCCUUCUGUUUGCCAGUCGUCUGUCUAUUAAGUUUGGCGGACCAACAAGCUGCCUCUCUCUACAGCUGGACCGCCGGUCCUGGCCCGGAGCGCUUUGAGCCCUGCCUGUGGCUCCACUUUAAUCACUGAGAUCAUAACGUGUUACUUUGCUGCUGAAGGGGUCUGGCCUGAGACCCCCGUCCUCCAUGGCCUGGGUCUGACCUCGCCUGGCGUCUGCCGGACUGUUAGCCUAACAUGACCUCACCUCUCUGUCUCAGACUCAACAGUGGACUCAUUCUUUGCCUUCGUCCCUUAGCCUUGCAGCAGACCCGGGCCCUGGCUGACCUGUAUGGCCUGGGGAUGUGCUGUGGGUUGAGGCCCCGUCUGAAAAGGCCCCGACUCUGGAGCAGAAACAGGUUGUGCUGGAGAACAGCUGCUGGAUGCACCAGGACAUUUCUGAAGCAUCUGGGAUCCCUCCAAUCAUUCCCGCCUGUUCAUGUUAUACCUCAAUGGUUCCUAACAGUGUCUACAAAUAAAGUAAGGAGUUACACUC